GAUGAACGCUGGCGGCGUGCCUAAUACAUGCAAGUCGAGCGAACGGACGAGAAGCUUGCUUCUCUGAUGUUAGCGGCGGACGGGUGAGUAACACGUGGAUAACCUACCUAUAAGACUGGGAUAACUUCGGGAAACCGGAGCUAAUACCGGAUAAUAUUUUGAACCGCAUGGUUCAAAAGUGAAAGACGGUCUUGCUGUCACUUAUAGAUGGAUCCGCGCUGCAUUAGCUAGUUGGUAAGGUAACGGCUUACCAAGGCAACGAUGCAUAGCCGACCUGAGAGGGUGAUCGGCCACACUGGAACUGAGACACGGUCUAGACUCCUACGGGAGGCAGCAGUAGGGAAUCUUCCGCAAUGGGCGAAAGACUGACGGAGCAACGCCGCGUGAGUGAUGAAGGUCUUCGGAUCGUAAAACUCUGUUAUUAGGGAAGAACAUAUGUGUAAGUAACUGUGCACAUCUUGACGGUACCUAAUCAGAAAGCCACGGCUAACUACGUG
rnacentral:rRNA from 1 species